UUAGGGGAGGCGGCAGUGGGGAAUUUUGGGCAAUGGGGGCAAGCCUGACCCAGCAACGCCGCUUGAAGGAUGAAGUCUUUCGGAAUGUAAACUUCGUAAGAAUAGGAAGAAUAAAAGGCGGUACUAUGAGUAAGCUCCGGCUAACUACGUGCCAGCAGCCGCGGUAAUAAGUAGGGGGCGAGCGUUGUUCGGAUUUAUUGGGGGUAAAGGGGGGGUAGGCGGCGUUUUAAUUCAUAUGUGAAAUAUCCGGGCUUAACUCGGAAAGUUCACCUGAAAAUGAUGAAAAGGAGCAGAAGGAGCAAUGGGAAUUUUUGGGUGUAGGGGUGAAAUGGUAGAGAUCAAGAGGAACACCCCAGGGGGAAGAGGGGGCUGCUUUGGCUGAUAACAGACACUGAGGGCACGAAAGCUAGGGGGGCAAAACGGGUUUAGAUACCCCGGUAAUCCCACCCCUAAACGAAUGAAUGCUUGGUGUCUGGGAGUUUUUAUCUCCGGGUGCCGUAGCUACGCAUAAGUAUCCGCCUG
rnacentral:rRNA from 1 species